GGUUAAGCGACUAAGCGUACACGGUGGAUGCCCUGGCAGUCAGAGGCGAUGAAGGACGUGCUAAUCUGCGAUAAGCGUCGGUAAGGUGAUAUGAACCGUUAUAACCGGCGAUUUCCGAAUGGGGAAACCCAGUGUGUUUCGACACACUAUCAUUAACUGAAUCCAUAGGUUAAUGAGGCGAACCGGGGGAACUGAAACAUCUAAGUACCCCGAGGAAAAGAAAUCAACCGAGAUUCCCCCAGUAGCGGCGAGCGAACGGGGAGCAGCCCAGAGCCUGAAUCAGUGUGUGUGUUAGUGGAAGCGUCUGGAAAGGCGCGCGAUACAGGGUGACAGCCCCGUACACAAAAAUGCACAUGCUGUGAGCUCGAUGAGUAGGGCGGGACACGUGGUAUCCUGUCUGAAUAUGGGGGGACCAUCCUCCAAGGCUAAAUACUCCUGACUGACCGAUAGUGAACCAGUACCGUGAGGGAAAGGCGAAAAGAACCCCGGCGAGGGGAGUGAAAAAGAACCUGAAACCGUGUACGUACAAGCAGUGGGAGCACAGAGCAAUCUGUGUGACUGCGUACCUUUUGUAUAAUGGGUCAGCGACUUAUAUUCUGUAGCAAGGUUAACCGAAUAGGGGAGCCGAAGGGAAACCGAGUCUUAACUGGGCGUUAAGUUGCAGGGUAUAGACCCGAAACCCGGUGAUCUAGCCAUGGGCAGGUUGAAGGUUGGGUAACACUAACUGGAGGACCGAACCGACUAAUGUUGAAAAAUUAGCGGAUGACUUGUGGCUGGGGGUGAAAGGCCAAUCAAACCGGGAGAUAGCUGGUUCUCCCCGAAAGCUAUUUAGGUAGCGCCUCGUGAAUUCAUCUCCGGGGGUAGAGCACUGUUUCGGCAAGGGGGUCAUCCCGACUUACCAACCCGAUGCAAACUGCGAAUACCGGAGAAUGUUAUCACGGGAGACACACGGCGGGUGCUAACGUCCGUCGUGAAGAGGGAAACAACCCAGACCGCCAGCUAAGGUCCCAAAGUCAUGGUUAAGUGGGAAACGAUGUGGGAAGGCCCAGACAGCCAGGAUGUUGGCUUAGAAGCAGCCAUCAUUUAAAGAAAGCGUAAUAGCUCACUGGUCGAGUCGGCCUGCGCGGAAGAUGUAACGGGGCUAAACCAUGCACCGAAGCUGCGGCAGCGACGCUUAUGCGUUGUUGGGUAGGGGAGCGUUCUGUAAGCCUGUGAAGGUGUACUGUGAGGUAUGCUGGAGGUAUCAGAAGUGCGAAUGCUGACAUAAGUAACGAUAAAGCGGGUGAAAAGCCCGCUCGCCGGAAGACCAAGGGUUCCUGUCCAACGUUAAUCGGGGCAGGGUGAGUCGACCCCUAAGGCGAGGCCGAAAGGCGUAGUCGAUGGGAAACAGGUUAAUAUUCCUGUACUUGGUGUUACUGCGAAGGGGGGACGGAGAAGGCUAUGUUGGCCGGGCGACGGUUGUCCCGGUUUAAGCGUGUAGGCUGGUUUUCCAGGCAAAUCCGGAAAAUCAAGGCUGAGGCGUGAUGACGAGGCACUACGGUGCUGAAGCAACAAAUGCCCUGCUUCCAGGAAAAGCCUCUAAGCAUCAGGUAACAUCAAAUCGUACCCCAAACCGACACAGGUGGUCAGGUAGAGAAUACCAAGGCGCUUGAGAGAACUCGGGUGAAGGAACUAGGCAAAAUGGUGCCGUAACUUCGGGAGAAGGCACGCUGAUAUGUAGGUGAAGUCCCUCGCGGAUGGAGCUGAAAUCAGUCGAAGAUACCAGCUGGCUGCAACUGUUUAUUAAAAACACAGCACUGUGCAAACACGAAAGUGGACGUAUACGGUGUGACGCCUGCCCGGUGCCGGAAGGUUAAUUGAUGGGGUCAGCGCAAGCGAAGCUCUUGAUCGAAGCCCCGGUAAACGGCGGCCGUAACUAUAACGGUCCUAAGGUAGCGAAAUUCCUUGUCGGGUAAGUUCCGACCUGCACGAAUGGCGUAAUGAUGGCCAGGCUGUCUCCACCCGAGACUCAGUGAAAUUGAACUCGCUGUGAAGAUGCAGUGUACCCGCGGCAAGACGGAAAGACCCCGUGAACCUUUACUAUAGCUUGACACUGAACAUUGAGCCUUGAUGUGUAGGAUAGGUGGGAGGCUUUGAAGUGUGGACGCCAGUCUGCAUGGAGCCGACCUUGAAAUACCACCCUUUAAUGUUUGAUGUUCUAACGUUGACCCGUGAUCCGGGUUGCGGACAGUGUCUGGUGGGUAGUUUGACUGGGGCGGUCUCCUCCUAAAGAGUAACGGAGGAGCACGAAGGUUGGCUAAUCCUGGUCGGACAUCAGGAGGUUAGUGCAAUGGCAUAAGCCAGCUUGACUGCGAGCGUGACGGCGCGAGCAGGUGCGAAAGCAGGUCAUAGUGAUCCGGUGGUUCUGAAUGGAAGGGCCAUCGCUCAACGGAUAAAAGGUACUCCGGGGAUAACAGGCUGAUACCGCCCAAGAGUUCAUAUCGACGGCGGUGUUUGGCACCUCGAUGUCGGCUCAUCACAUCCUGGGGCUGAAGUAGGUCCCAAGGGUAUGGCUGUUCGCCAUUUAAAGUGGUACGCGAGCUGGGUUUAGAACGUCGUGAGACAGUUCGGUCCCUAUCUGCCGUGGGCGCUGGAGAACUGAGGGGGGCUGCUCCUAGUACGAGAGGACCGGAGUGGACGCAUCACUGGUGUUCGGGUUGUCAUGCCAAUGGCACUGCCCGGUAGCUAAAUGCGGAAGAGAUAAGUGCUGAAAGCAUCUAAGCACGAAACUUGCCCCGAGAUGAGUUCUCCCUGACUCCUUGAGAGUCCUGAAGGAACGUUGAAGACGACGACGUUGAUAGGCCGGGUGUGUAAGCGCAGCGAUGCGUUGAGCUAACCGGUACUAAUGAACCGUGAGGCUUAACCUU
rnacentral:rRNA from 1 species